rnacentral:rRNA from 1 species
UAUUGGGCAAUGGGCGCAAGCCUGACCCAGCAACGCCGCGUGAAGGGAGAAGGCUUUCGGGCUGUAAACUUCUUUUAUGAGGGACGAAGGAAGUGACGGUACCUCAUGAAUAAGCCACGGCUAACUACGUGCCAGCAGCCGCGGUAAUACGUAGGUGGCGAGCGUUAGCCGGAUUUACUGGGUGUAAAGGGCGUGUAGGCGGGAUUGCAAGUCAGAUGUGAAAACUAUGGGCUCAACCCAUAGCCUGCAUUUGAAACUGUAGUUCUUGAGUGCUGGAGAGGCAAUCGGAAUUCCGUGUGUAGCGGUGAAAUGGGUAGAUAUACGGAGGAACACCAGUGGCGAAGGCGGAUUGCUGGACAGUAACUGACGCUGAGGCGCGAAAGCGUGGGGAGCAAACAGG